rnacentral:rRNA from 1 species
AAGUGAAGAAGGGAAGAAGCCCAAGAAUUGAAAGCUGGCGUCUUCGGCGUCCGCAUUGUAAUCUCAAGAAGUGUUUUCCGCUUCGGACCAUGCCUAAGUCCCUUGGAAAAGGGCAUCAUAGAGGGUGAUAAUCCCGUACAUGGCAUGGAGCGCCCGAAGCUUUGUGAUACGCUUUCUAAGAGUCGAGUUGUUUGGGAAUGCAGCUCAAAAUGGGUGGUAAAUGCCAUCUAAGGCUAAAUAUUGGGGAGAGACCGAUAGCGAACAAGUACAGUGAUGGAAAGAUGAAAAGAACUUUGAAAAGAGAGUUAAACAGUACGUGAAAUUGCCAAAAGGGAAGGGUAGGAGGUCAGAGAUGCGGCCUGGGAUUCAGCCUUGCUUUUGCUUGGUGUUUUUCCCAGAUUGCAGGCCAACGUCGGUUUUGGGCACUGGAGAAGGGUAGGAGGAACGUGGCACCUCUCGGGGUGUGUUAUAGCCUCCUACUGGAUACAGCGACCGAGACCGAGGACAGCAGCGUACUCGCAAGAGCGGGCCUUCGGGCACCUUUACGCUUAGGGCGUUGGCAUAAUGGCCCUCUACCACCCGUUGAA